GUUUUUGCCAUUAAAGAUUAACGGAUUAGGGAUUAACGGAUUAGUCAGUUGAUCACUCGAGCGAGAGACGCUAAUGAGCUGAACGGUUAACUGCAAAUUACAUGACAUUUAUUAGUGAACUCUGUUCAACAAUUUUAUGACAAAUAUAAAUAGAUGGUCCGGACCACUUUCGUCACUAAGUCCUACCAUGGCAAAUGUAAAAGUUCAUCCCAACUUCGAGAGA